UACGUAGGGGGCGAGCGUUGUCCGGAAUGAUUGGGCGUAAAGGGAGCGUAGGCGGCUUUUUAAGUCUGGAGUGAAAGUCCUGCUUUCAAGGUGGGAAUUGCUUUGGAUACCGGAGAGCUUGAGUGCGGGAGAGGUAAGUGGAAUUCCCAGUGUAGCGGUGAAAUGCGUAGAGAUUGGGAGGAACACCAGUGGCGAAGGCGACUUACUGGACUGUAACUGACGCUGAGGCGCGAAAGUGUGGGGAGCAAAC
rnacentral:rRNA from 1 species